GCUAAACGCGAAGAACCUUACCUACUCUUGACAUCCAGAGAACUUAGCAGAGAUGCUUUGGUGCCUUCGGGAACUCUGAGACAGGUGCUGCACGGCUGUCGUCAGCUCGUGUUGUGAAAUGUUGGGUUAAGUCCCGCAACGAGCGCAACCCUUAUCCUUUGUUGCCAGCGGUUCGGCCGGGAACUCAAAGGAGACUGCCAGUGAUAAACUGGAGGAAGGUGGGGAUGGACGUCAAGUCAUCAUGGCCCUUACGAGUAGGGCUACGACACGUGCUACAAUGGCGUAUACAAAGAGAAAGCGACCUCGCGAGAGCAAGCGGACCUCAUAAAGUACGUACGUAGUCCGGAUUGGAGUCUGCAACUCGACUCCAUGAAGUCGGAAUCGCUAGUAAUCGUAGAUCAGAAUGCUAC
rnacentral:rRNA from 1 species